GAUAAACGCUAGCGGCUGGCUUAACACAUGCAAGUCGAGGGGCAGCAUAGAUUGUAGCAAUACAAUUGGUGGCGACCGGCGCACGGGUGCGUAACGCGUAUGCAACCUACCCGUCACAGGGGGAUAAUCCGGAGAAAUCUGGUCUAAUACCCCAUAACAUAUGGAUCGGCAUCGGUUCAUGUUGAAAUUUUCGGAGGUGACGGAUGGGCAUGCGUAGCAUUAGCUUGUUGGUGAGGUAACGGCUCACCAAGGCGACGAUGCUUAGGGGGACUGAGAGGUUUUCCCCCCACACUGGAACUGAGACACGGACCAGACUCCUACGGGAGGCAGCAGUGAGGAAUAUUGGUCAAUGGGCGCAAGCCUGAGCCAGCCAUGCCGCGUGCAGGAUGACGGCUCUAUGAGUUGUAAACUGCUUUUGUACGAGGGUAAAGUGGGUUACGUGUAACCUUUUGAAAGUAUCGUACGAAUAAGGAUCGGCUAACUCCGUGCCAGCCGCCGCCGUAA
rnacentral:rRNA from 1 species